rnacentral:rRNA from 1 species
AUACGAUCUAUGGAGUGAAAGACGGGGAGUCGCAAGACCUCGCGCGAUUGGAGCGGCCGAUAUCAGAUUAGGUAGUUGGUGAGGUAAAGGCUCACCAAGCCGACGAUCUGUAGCUGGUCUGAGAGGACGACCAGCCACACUGGGACUGAGACACGGCCCAGACUCCUACGGGAGGCAGCAGUGGGGAAUUUUGGACAAUGGGCGCAAGCCUGAUCCAGCAAUGCCGCGUGCAGGAUGAAGGCCUUCGGGUUGUAAACUGCUUUUGUACGGAACGAAACGGCGAGCUCUAGUACAGUUUGCUAAUGACGGUACCGUAAGAAUAAGCACCGGCUAACUACGUG